GGGCCCGUAGUUUAGCUUGGAUAGAAUUCCGGGUUGCGGACCCGGAGGUCCGGGGUUCGAAUCCCCGCGGGCCCG
rnacentral:tRNA from 1 species